ACUCCUACUGGAGGCAUCAGUGAGGAAUAUUGGUCAAUGGGCGAGAGCCUGAACCAGCCAAGUAGCGUGAAGGAUGAAGGUCCUACGGAUUGUAAACUUCUUUUAUACGGGAAUAAAGUAUCCUACGUGUAGGAUUUUGUAUGUACCGUAUGAAUAAGCAUCGGCUAACUCCGUGCCAGCAGCCGCGGUAAUAC
rnacentral:rRNA from 1 species